CCUAUAGAAAAACUCUUGUUGUAUCUAUAUUAAACACAACUUCUCUUUUCCUGUAAAGUAAAACUCUUUGAUUUAUCUGUGGAUCAGAGUGCAGCAGGCUGGAUGUGACGAUGGGGCACUCUUUGCUGUGCAUGAUGGGCUUUUUCUCGUCCUGUACAGUCAUCUAUGAAAAUGCUCAAGGUAAGUAUCUGAAUUGAUUUUUACAUUUAUAUGUGCUAUUUAACAUAAUUUAAUGACUGAACCUCAAUCUGUUAAUAAAUCUCAACAUGAAAUGUAAUCAGAUUACAAUCCGACUGUCACUUUAAAAUACAUUAGUUCAGAUUUUGAGUUUGAAUGUCAGUUUAGCCUCAUCUUCACUCAAAUACUUACAUCAACUUAGAGAUUUAAUAGUGACACACAUUAAUAUGACCGCUUACAGCACAAUAUUAUUUCCAGUGUAAAUAAACUGGCCGACAGUCUGGCAGCUGAAUUAAGGCCACGCAGUCACAGAGUAGGGAAAAAAGGAGACUAUAGAUUUUCUUCUGGCUUGAUAAUAAAUCUACAAUGCAACUGAUGUCUCCAUCCUUAAAUCCUUUUGGGUUUCUUGGCUGCUGCUUGGGAACUUGAAGCUUCAGUUCCCUCCUCAGGAUUUCUGUAGGACUGAAGUCUGGAGACUGGUUAGGCCACUCUGUGACCUUAAUGUGCUUCUAUUUUAGCCACUCCUUUGUUGAAUUGGUGGUAUGUUUUGGGUCAGUGUGAUUCUGCAAGACCUGUCCACGACUUCAGUAUUCUGGCUAGAUGAAGGGUUUGUGUACAGUAUAUGACCUUGACCGUUGGUGCAGCAAAGUUGUCCUGUACCCUUAGUGAAAAAUAUCCCAAAGCAUAAUCUUUCCACCUGCCUGCUUGACGUGUUGUUCUUUGGGUCACACUCAGGAUUUCUUUAUAUCCAAACACAGUGUGUCUAGUUGAUAUGACAGAUAUGAUUUCGGUUUCACUGGAAAACCGCACAUUCCCCCAAUCAUUAUCUGAAUCAUUUAGAUGUUCACUGGCAAACUUAAGACAGGACUGCACAUGUGCCUGCAAACCUGGAACAACAAAAAUGAUUCUGUGGGCCUUUAUACUCAUAAUGAGCUAUAUGCCACAUCUGUCUGGAGGCGCUGGAAUCCUUACUGGUCUGUCAAAUACUUAUUCCACUCAAUAGCAAGCAAAUCAGUUUAUAACUUUGAUGUGAUGUGUUUUAACUGGAUUUUUGGUUGAUAUUCUGUCGCCUCCCCAUUAAAUGAAACAACCACAAAAAUUAGAGACUGUUCAUUUCUUUGUAAGUAGGAGACAAAAAAUAGGCAGGUGUUCAAAUAACUGUUUUUUCCACUGUAUCCACUUUUCUUAAAAGCUUAUCAGGUUCAGUGUUGUAGUUAGUAAAAAGUGUAUUUAUAUUAAAAAUAUAAUUUAAUGUGAACAUUUUUGGCAGAAUAAAAUUAAAAUUUUAUAGUAUAAAAUUCAAUUGUGGUUUAUUAUCUAAAAGUUGGUGUUCCAAGAGAGGGUGCUGUGACACCCUAAUCGUUUCAUGGCAUUUUAUCAUUUACAUAUUUCCACCCAGUUUUUUAAAUUGUUCUGAUUCAGUCAUUUACUUUUAUGUUAUUGUUCUAAAAUGAACUACAGAUAAACCAAAGGCAAGACUUGGUGCUGAUAGGACAGCUGUUCCAAUAGGGGGCAGUGUGACCUUGAAUUGCUCUGUGAGCCCAUCAUCAUCAUCAUCAUCAUCAUCUUCUUCUAGAUGGAAAUACUACUGGUACAGAAAUGAAAAAUACUUCCAACCCCUGACAACACAAGAUGCAGUUUUUCAAUCACAUGCAGGGCUCUCGAGUGCGACCAAUUUGCGACCAACACAGCAGGUCAGAAUAUUUGCAAAGAACAAUAAAAACAGCUUCUUCCAAGGUGUGAGUUCAGUCUCUUCAUCAGAUCGGUUGUCGAAAGUUUAACAGGUUCAUCUCACAAUCACUUAAGUCAGUUCAGAGGUGACUUUUUCCAAAUGUCUCCAUCAUGGACAUAUUUAGUUCUGCUAACAGGUUAGUGUGUCAAAAGCGCCAUAAAUUCUAAACUUGGUAUGACUCAGCUCUCAGGUAAGUCUCUGCAGAUGCCUGAUGUGCCAGAAUGGAUCUCAGACAAAGAAGACAGACUCGGUAGGUAAGGCUGCUUAGUUUAGCAGGUGAGUACAUAAACAUCACAAGUCAUGUGGUCUUAGCGAUGCUACAAACUGAGUAGUUCAACAGUCUGGCAAUGAGUACCUGGGAGAGCUGGAUUUCAACGCAGCAGUGAGUGCAAUGAGUAUCAGAUGCAUCUGAGUUCAGACAGCCAGAGUUUAUUAGCCUCCAUCCACCUCUCACACACAAAUAAGACACAAGCUGAAGUGUCGCUGCUAACAGUUAAUUUUUAUUUUUAUUUUUUUAAAUGUAUUGUACUUGUCAGGAGUUUAAAUCGACUUCUAAGUCCACAUGUCCAACAUCUCUGUAUCAUAUACCUGCUGAUCAAAUGUAUCCUGAGCUCUGACUUCUCUUUUAGAGGACAGUCUGAUUUUGCUGAGGUCAAACACCCCAAAAAUGAAAAAGCCAAGAAAAAAGCAGGUAAACAAAGUCUGCCAUCACCUCCAGUGAAUGUUGUUCAACAUGUUUAUCUGGUCUUAAAAUCUUCUUUCCACUCACAGGAAAAUCAAGUCCUGCAGCUGAUGCAGCAGUUUAUUCUGAAGUCACGUUAGGAAGCUUUCCUGGUCAGUGAGGAGAGCUGCAGCAGCAAA